rnacentral:siRNA from 1 species
AGUCCAACGUCAACCAGAGAUGAC